CAGCAGCCGCCGCGGUAAUGCGUAGGUGGCAAGCGUUGUCCGGAAUUAUUGGGCGUAAAGGGCUCGCAGGCGGUUUCUUAAGUCUGAUGUGAAAGCCCCCGGCUCAACCGGGGAGGGUCAUUGGAAACUGGGAAACUUGAGUGCAGAAGAGGAGAGUGGAAUUCCACGUGUAGCGGUGAAACGCGUAGAGAUGUGGAGGAACACCAGUGGCGAAGGCGACUCUCUGGUCUGUAACUGACGCUGAGGAGCGAAAGCGUGGGGAGCGAACAGGAUUAGAUACCCCUGUAGUCCCUGUCUCUUAUAC
rnacentral:rRNA from 1 species